rnacentral:rRNA from 1 species
CAGUCGCCGCGGGAAUACGUAGGUGGCAAGCGUUGUCCGGAAUUAUUGGGCGUAAAGGGCUCGCAGGCGGUUUCUUAAGUCUGAUGUGAAAGCCCCCGGCUCAACCGGGGAGGGUCAUUGGAAACUGGGAAACUUGAGUGCAGAAGAGGAGAGUGGAUUUCCACGUGUAGCGGUGGAAUGCGUAGAGAUGUGGAGGAACACCAGUGGCGAAGGCGACUCUCUGGUCUGUAACUGACGCUGAGGAGCGAAAGCGUGGGGAGCGAACAGGAUUAGAUACCCCCGUAGUCCCUGUCUCUUAUAC